AGGGCUGGGUUCUAUUUAGAAUUACUUGCAGACUUCUUGAUAGUAAUUGGGAGAAAUUAGAAGAUGGUAAUGCACUCCUGGAGUGGAACAGUGAAAAAGGAUAUCAAAAUCUACCCUCAGAGGAGCUGGCUUGUUUAUGCGAAAAGCAUGGUGGAGCAAGAUGGCAAUCCCAGCCAUUAGAGCAUCUAAGGUAGGAGGAUCACAAAAUCAGCAUUAGCAACUUAGCAAGGUGUUGAGCAACUUGGAGAAAGAUCCUGUCUAAAAAAAGAAAAACAAUACAAAUGGGAAGUGGCAAAUACUAUUUAAGAAAACAAAAUUAUAAAAACAUCCCUCCACCAGUUCAGUUUUGUGGUGUUGUUACACAUUGAGAAGUCCAUUGAUUCUCCAAAUUCUCCUUUGGGACAAUAAACAAGUAUUUUAACAAAAGUGGUU